rnacentral:tRNA from 1 species
GGAUCUGUAACUCAGUUGGUCAGAGUAGGGGACUCUUAAUCCCAAGGUCGAAGGUUCGAGUCCUUCCAGAUCCA